UACGGGGGGGGCGAGCGUUGUUCGGAAUUACUGGGCGUAAAGGGCUCGUAGGCGGCCAACUAAGUCGGAUGUGAAAUCCCCAGGCUCAACCUGGGAACUGCAUCCGAUACUGGAUGGCUUGAAUUCGGGAGAGGGAUGCAGAAUUCCAGGUGUAGCGGUGAAAUGCGUAGAUAUCUGGAGGAAUACCGGUGGCGAAGGCGGCAUCCUGGACCGACAUUGACGCUGAGGAGCGAAAGCCAGGGGAGCAGACGGG
rnacentral:rRNA from 1 species